rnacentral:lncRNA from 1 species
UGAAGAGACCCUGAAUCAUUUUUGUUAGUAGAAAAUAGAAUUAAGUGUAACAUGUUAUCCAUUUGAUAAGAAAUACUGCUUACUAUAUUAAUGUUAGCAAAAGUUUGUGAACACAACCACCAACAUCAAACUAAGUUCUUUUUGCUAUAAGUUGUAUACAAUACAUAAACUCCAAUUCUUCUGAUAGCUGUUACUCUGAGUGGAUUUAUUAUUUUGAAAAACAAACAAGCAAAACCAAAAGUCUUUUAUCAAAUGUUAUGAUGCAAAAAAAAGAAAAGAAGGAAACUUCAGUUUUUGAGUAUGCAGAAAGACCAUGAAGAAAUCUUUAAGUGCGUGACUAGAUUUUUGUGGUUUUGUUCAUGUGUUUUUUUUCAGUUGUUUGAAAUGGGCUUUCUGAAGUUUAAAUUGUUCAACUUCAUCCCUAGUGUUCUGUGCUUGCUGGGAGUGAUGCUGAGCAGGAGUCAGGGACUAUUCAGAAGUCCAGACAAAGGCUCAGAAUGGCACAAUUAG